rnacentral:misc_RNA from 1 species
GAUGAAGAACGUAGCGAAAUGCGAUAAGUAGUGUGAAUUGCAGAAUUCAGUGAAUCAUCGAAUCUUUGAACGCACAUUGCGCCCCUUGGUAUUCCAUGGGGCAUGCCUGUUCGAGCGUCAUUUGUACCUUCAAGCUCUGCUUGGUGUUGGGUGUUUGUCUCGCCUCUGCGUGUAGACUCGCCUCAAAACAAUUGGCAGCCGGCGUAUUGAUUUCGGAGCGCAGUACAUCUCGCGCUUUGCACUCAUAACGACGACGUCCAAAAGUACAUUUUUACACUCUUGACCUCGGAUCAGGUAGGUAUACCCGCUGAACUUAAGCAUAUCAAUAAGCGGAGGA